GUAGUGGAAACUACCGUUGUAUCAAAAAAAUGGACGUCCGAGAUUCGUCCACGUCAUCACGAGUAAAAAUUUUUACUCAUAAGCAAAUCCGUGAGUAAAAUUUUUACUCGUGAUGACGUGGACGAAUUUCGGACGUCUAUUUUUCGAUCCAACGGUAGUUUCUAAAUUUUC
rnacentral:pre_miRNA from 1 species